GUCAUAACGGCGACCGUGAAGACUUUUAAAAUAGAGACCAACGUGGCCGGGCAGGAAGAGCAGGGUCCCGCCUUCAGGUGUUUGGGACUCAGCUGAGGGUGUGGGUGCCCCGCGGUGGGGGCUGAACCUUCCUGGGGUGUGGAGAGACGAAAGGAGCCCAGAUCCAAGUUCCCUCGUUCCCGCUUUGGCAUAAGUUGCCCUGGCGGUCUCAUGAGAGAGAGAAAGAGCUGGGACCCUCCUCGCCCCAGUGAGUGUGAUGUCUUGCUCCGGGUGUCCUGGGGCAACUUUCUAUACAGGCGGGACGUGGGAGGAUCAGACAGUGUAACAUCAGACAAGGGUGUUGACUCUGCAGCACAGAACCAGUAGUUUGUGGAGAAGAAUGGAGGUGUGGUGUUGAAUCUGCUAGACAGGCUACUGAAGCAAAAGUCAAGAGAUCCAGAUUCCAUCAUGGGGACACUUUAGUUCUUCAUCGGGUAAUUGAGCUGAUAUCAGGUGUCUGAAGGAGGCAAGUUUUGAAGAUGUGGGUCAUGAUGGCUGCUGAAGCUUCCACUCCAUAUUUGAAGGUCAGCAGUUCUCAGGAAACCUCUAGCACUUCCAUCCCUGGUGGGAUGUGAUGCCUGUCUCAGGUGAGCUCACAGAUGUGAACGGAAGCAUGUUGUAGAAAAGCACUUGUGAGGUUCACAAAAUAAUCUAAAAGUAGAGAAGCUAUUUUGAUAUCACCUUUGGAGAAGAGGUUUAUCAGGUAGACUCUUACUUGGUAGUGAGGCUUUUAUACAUUCUAUGGUAAAAUUUUGUAGUAGCCAAUAAUUUUUGAAGUGUUAGUUUAAAAUGCCCAUUUAAAAAUUUGUUAUUUUAAUAAAUGACAAUUACACUAGAAUUUAUCCUAUUAUAAUGAUACAUAACCAUGUUGUCUAAAAUAGCCAGGUAUUCUUAAAUACCACUUUAUUUUACCAAGUUAUUACAUUUUAGUUUUGAACUUCAGAAGGAAAUGCACAUCAACUUUCUCUACAUAUUUAGAUGCACCUCAUUUCAAAUGAUUAUUUCUGUUGUGGACAUAUAUAGUGUGAACGACUUGAUAAGACAUAGUGUCCAUCUGCUAAUGUGACAAGGUCAUGUUAGUGGGAAUUGUUCUCCUGAUUAAUUCAGUAUCAUCAAAUCUCAGAAAAAUACAAGUAUAUUUCAGAUGCUUUAUUGAGGUAUGUUUGAUAUGAAAUAUACUAAGUAUAUUUAAAGCCUUUACUUUAGUAAGCUUUGGCAUAUGUAUGCACCAAUGAAACCAACACCAUAGUCAAAGUAAUGAACAUAUCCAUCACCCCAAAAAGCAUUUUCCUGCCCCUUUGUAAUCAUCCCACCUACCUGUCUCCCUCCAGCUUCCAUGUCCCUCCUAUCUCUCUCCAUUUCCAGGCAACCACUGCUCUUCUGUCAUUGUAGAUUGAUUUACAUUUCCUAUAAUUUUAUGUAAAUGGCAUCAUACAAUAUGUAUUUUUUUGGUCUGGCUUCUUACAUUCAGCCUAUUAACUUUUUGAUUUAUCUUUAUUGUUGCAUGAUUGAAUAAUUCCUUUUUAAAAUUGCUAAGUAGUAUAUGGAUAUACCACAAUUUGUUUUAUCCAUUCACUUUUUCAUGGACAGUAGGUAGUUUUCAGUUUGGGGUUCUUCUAAAUAAAGCUGCCAUAACCAUUUGUGUAAAUGUCUUUAUAUGUACACAUGCUUUCUUUCUCUAGGGUAAAUACUAGGAGUCCAAUGGCUGGAUCAUGUGGUAGAUGUGAGAUUAACAUUGUAAGAAACUGCCAAACUGUUUUCCAAAGUGGUAGUACCAUUCCUUAUUCAUUCCCAUCAGCAGUAUAUGAGAAUUCCAUUCUCCACAACCUUGCCAAAGCUUGGUAUGGUCAGUCUUUUUUACUUUAGCCAUUCUCAUGGGUGCAUAGUAAUAUCUCAUUAGAGUUUUAAUUUACUUUUUUUUUUCAAGACAUUGUCUUGCUCUGUCACCCAGGCUGGAGUGCAGUGGCAUAAUCUCAGCUCACUGCAACCUCUGCCUCCUGGGUUCAAGCAAUUCUCCUGCCUCAGCCUCCUGAAUAGUUGGGAUUACAGGCACCCACCACUGCACCUGGCUCAUUUUUGUAUUUUUAGUAGAGGCAAGGUUUCACCAUGUUGGCCAGGCUGGUCUCAAACUCCUGACCUCGUGAUCUGCCCACCUCGGCCUCCCAAAGUGCUGGGAUUACAGGCAUGAGCCACUGCACCUGGCCUACAUUUUCUUAAUGACUAUUAUUGUUAAACAUCUUUUCAUGUGAUUACUUGCCAUUUGUAUAUAUUCUUUGGUAAAGUUUCUGUUUCUAUUAUUUUCCCAUUUAUUUAUUGGAGUGUCUGUUUACUUUUUACUUUUAAAUGAUUUUAUAUAUUCUGGAUAUAAAUUCUUUGUCAGUUAUACGAUUCUUCAAAUACUUUUUCCCAGUCAUUGACUUAUCUUUUCAUUCUCUCAACAGUGGCUUUUAGAAGAGCAGAAAUUUUUAACCUUGAGGAAGUGCCAUUUAUAAUUUUUUUAUUUAGGGUUAAGAUGUUUUUAUUGAUGUCCUAUCUAAAAAAUGUUUACCUACUCACAGUCACAAGGAUUUACUCCUGUCUUUUCUUGUAGGAGUUUAUACAUUUGGAUUUUAUAGUUAGGUCUCAUAUUCAGUUUGAGUUGAUUUUGUAUAUGUUGUGAUAUAUGGAUUACAGUUUAUUUU
ensembl:lncRNA novel transcript